rfam:Beta vulgaris subsp. vulgaris Bvchr1.sca004.con0042.1, whole genome shotgun sequence.
GAAAAUGAUGAUAUUUAUUGUCGCCCCAGUCUUACUAGCAUCUUAAUUAGAUGCAUUUUGUGGUGAUUGACUUUUCUAUCUGAUUC